AGAAGAGAGAGAAGCUCCUCUCCAACACCUGCCACCACCUGUUAAACCCACAGACCAUCUCUGCAGUCUCUUCAUCCACCUGCUGCCAUCUCCCAGUCUUUAAGUCAGGGUGGCCAACAUGAAAAUAAGAGGAGGAAGAUUUUGAAAAUGCAGCAGGCAGCAGGUGUUGAAGUUUGAAGCAGUGACUGGGAGCAGGACAGAUGAGGUCAGACUGACAGAUGUUUUCAACAGGCUGUUUACAGCAGGCCAGGCUCAAGUUAUGGAAUGAUAUUUUCCAGUGGGUAAAAUCUGGGAUGACACGUGGGAGCCC
ensembl:lncRNA